rnacentral:rRNA from 1 species
AUUGAACGCUGGCGGCACGCCUAACACAUGCAAGUCGAACGGCAGCACGGGAGCAAUCCUGGUGGCGAGUGGCGAACGGGUGAGUAAUAUAUCGGAACGUGCCCAGUAGUGGGGGAUAACUGCUCGAAAGAGCAGCUAAUACCGCAUACGACCUGAGGGUGAAAGGGGGGGAUCGCAAGACCUCUCGCUAUUGGAGCGGCCGAUAUCAGAUUAGCUAGUUGGUGGGGUAAAGGCCUACCAAGGCAACGAUCUGUAGUUGGUCUGAGAGGACGGCCAGCCACACUGGGACUGAGACACGGCCCAGACUCCUACGGGAGGCAGCAGUGGGGAAUUUUGGACAAUGGGCGCAAGCCUGAUCCAGCAAUGCCGCGUGCAGGAAGAAGGCCUUCGGGUUGUAAACUGCUUUUGUCAGGGAAGAAAUCCUCUAGGUUAAUACCCUUGGGGGGAUGACGGUACCUGAAGAAUAAGCACCGGCUAACUACGUGCCAGCAGCCGCCGUAACAC